rnacentral:rRNA from 1 species
GAGUUUGAUCUUGGCUCAGAUUGAACGCUGGCGGCAUGCCUUACACAUGCAAGUCGAACGGCAGCACGGGAGCUUGCUCCUGGUGGCGAGUGGCGAACGGGUGAGUAAUGCAUCGGAACGUAUCCUGGAGUGGGGGAUAACGUAGCGAAAGUUACGCUAAUACCGCAUAUUCUGUGAGCAGGAAAGCGGGGGGACCUUCGGGCCUCGCGCUCUUGGAGCGGCCGAUGUCGGAUUAGCUAGUUGGUGAGGUAAAGGCUCACCAAGGCGACGAUCCGUAGCAGGUCUGAGAGGAUGAUCUGCCACACUGGAACUGAGACACGGUCCAGACUCCUACGGGAGGCAGCAGUGGGGAAUUUUGGACAAUGGGGGCAACCCUGAUCCAGCCAUGCCGCGUGAGUGAAGAAGGCCUUCGGUUGU